rnacentral:rRNA from 1 species
GACGAACGCUGGCGGCGUGCUUAACACAUGCAAGUCGAACGGAAAGGCCCUGCUUUUGUGGGGUGCUCGCGUGGCGAACGGGUGAGUAACACGUGAGUAACCUGCCCUUGACUUUGGGAUAACUUCAGGAAACUGGGGCUAAUACCGGAUAGGAGCUCCUGCUGCAUGGUGGGGGUUGGAAAGUUUCGGCGGUUGGGGAUGGACUCGCGGCUUAUCAGCUUGUUGGUGGGGUAGUGGCUUACCAAGGCUUUGACGGGUAGCCGGCCUGAGAGGGUGACCGGCCACAAUGGGACUGAGAGACGGCCCAGACUCCUACGGGAGGCAGCAGUGGGGAAUAUUGCACAAUGGGCGGAAGCCUGAUGCAGCAACGCCGCGUGCGGGAUGACGGCCUUCGGGUUGUAAACCGCUUUCGCCUGUGACGAAGCGUGAGUGACGGUAAUGGGUAAAGAAGCACCGGCUAACUACGUG